UACGUAGGUGGCAAGCGUUGUCCGGAUUUACUGGGUGUAAAGGGCGCGUAGGCGGGUAGGCAAGUCAGGUGUGAAAUCCAUGGGCUUAACCCAUGAACUGCACUUGAAACUGUUUAUCUUGAGUAUCGGAGAGGCAAGCGGAAUUCCGUGUGUAGCGGUGAAACGCGUAGACAUACGGAGGAACACCAGUGGCGAAGGCGGCUUGCUGGACGACAACUGACGCUGAGGCGCGAAAGCGUGGGGAGCAAAC
rnacentral:rRNA from 1 species